UCCUGUAUCGAAAGUGAUCAUGGCGUCCUCAUCGUCAGGUCAUUGAUAGUACAGGAAGAUCGACCUGCGAGCCUUUCCCGUGUUUGAAGGAUGAUUGGUUCCUGUCAGACCCUGAUGCUCUCAGACA
rnacentral:snoRNA from 1 species